GAGCGGUAACAGGUGUAGCAAUACAUGCUGACGAGCGGCGAACGGGUGAGUAAUACUUCGGAAUCUACCCAAUGGUGGGGAAUAACCAGCCGAAAGGUUGGCUAAUACCGCAUAAGCCCUACGGGGGAAAGCAGGGGAUCGUAAGACCUUGCGCCAAUGGAUGAGCCGAAGCCGGAUUAGCUAGUUGGUAGGGUAACGGCCUACCAAGGCGACGAUCCGUAGCUGGUCUGAGAGGACGACCAGCCACACUGGGACUGAGACACGGCCCAGACUCCUACGGGAGGCAGCAGUGGGGAAUAUUGGACAAUGGGGGAAACCCUGAUCCAGCGACGCCGCGUGUGUGAAGAAGGCCUGCGGGUUGUAAAGCACUUUUAGUGGGGAUGAAAAGCUCAGGGCUAAUACCUCUGGGUCUUGACCUAACCCACAGAAAAAGCACCGGCUAACUCUGUG
rnacentral:rRNA from 1 species